UACAGGGGGUGCAAACGUUGCUCGGAAUUAUUGGGCGUAAAGCGUGCGUAGGCGGCUACUUAAGUCGGAUGUGAAAGCCCCUGGCUCAACUGGGGAAGUGCACCCGAAACUGAGUGGCUUGAGUGCGAAAGAGGGUCGCGGAAUUCCCGGUGUAGAGGUGAAAUUCGUAGAUAUCGGGAGGAACACCGGUGGCGAAGGCGGCGACCUGGGUCGACACUGACGCUGAGGCGCGAAAGCGUGGGGAGCAAACAGG
rnacentral:rRNA from 1 species